GCCGGAGGGAUAAGAAAGCAAAGUCUGAGAAGUGAGGCUCUGCUGAUACCACCCUCCUAGAGUAACGGGGCGGAGAGAGAGCAGCUCGGCUCUAAGGUUCAGCUGCUGCUCCCUGCACUGUCCAACAUCA
ensembl:scaRNA